rnacentral:tRNA from 1 species
GGACAGGUGGCCGAGCGGUUGAAGGCGCACGCCUGGAAAGUGUGUAAACGUUAAUAGCGUUUCGAGGGUUCGAAUCCCUCCCUGUCCGCCA